rnacentral:rRNA from 1 species
CCUACGGGUGGCAGCAGUGGGGAAUAUUGGACAAUGGGCGAAAGCCUGAUCCAGCCAUGCCGCGUGUGUGAAGAAGGCCUUCGGGUUGUAAAGCACUUUCAGUGGGGAAGAAAGCCUUGGGGCUAAUACCCUCGAGGAAGGACAUCACCCACAGAAGAAGCACCGGCUAACUCCGUGCCAGCAGCCGCGGUAAUACGGAGGGUGCGAGCGUUAAUCGGAAUUACUGGGCGUAAAGCGCGCGUAGGCGGUUUGAUAAGCCGGUUGUGAAAGCCCCGGGCUCAACCUGGGAACGGCAUCCGGAACUGUCAGGCUAGAGUGCAGUAGAGGGAGGUAGAAUUCCCGGUGUAGCGGUGAAAUGCGUAGAGAUCGGGAGGAAUACCAGUGGCGAAGGCGGUCUUCUGGACUGACACUGACGCUGAGGUGCGAAAGCGUGGGUAGCAAACAGGAUUAGAUACCCUGGUAGUC